rnacentral:rRNA from 1 species
UUUGCGGAGAGUUUGAUUCUGGCUCAGGACGAACGCUGGCGGCGUGCUUAACACAUGCAAGUCGAACGAUGAAGGGUACUUGUACUUGGAUUAGUGGCGAACGGGUGAGUAUCACGUGAGUAAUCUGCCCCCUUCUUUGGGAUAAGCCUGGGAAACUGGGUCUAAUACUGAAUAUUCUGUCCUCGUCGCAUGGUGGGGGUUGGAAAGAUUUAUCGGUGGGGGAUGUGCUCGCGGCCUAUCAGCUUGUUGGUGGGGUAAUGGCCUACCAAGGCUUUGACGGGUAGCCGGCCUGAGAGGGCGACCGGCCACACUGGGACUGAGACACGGCCCAGACUCCUACGGGAGGCAGCAGUGGGGAAUAUUGCACAAUGGGCGCAAGCCUGAUGCAGCGACGCCGCGUGG